rnacentral:rRNA from 1 species
GAGCGAACAGGAUUAGAUACCUGGUAGUCCACGCCGUAAAACUAUGAUCACUCGUUGUUGGCAAUACACAGUCAGUGACUAAGGGAAACCGAUAAGUGAUCCACCUGGGGGAGUACGAUCGCAAAGGUUGAAACUCAAAGGAAUUGACGGGGGCCCGCACAAGCGGUGGAGCAUGUGGUUUAAUUCGAUGAUACGCGAGGAACCUUACCUGGGCUCAAAUGUAAGUUGACAACCCCCGAAAGGGGGCUUUCCUCGGACAAUUUACAAGGUGCUGCAUGGUUGUCGUCAGCUCGUGCCGUGAGGUGUCGGGUUAAGUCCCAUAACGAGCGCAACCCCUACUCUUAGUUGCCAGCAUGUAAUGAUGGGGACUCUAAGAGAACUGCCUACGCAAGUAGAGAGGAAGGUGGGGAUGACGUCAAAUCAGCACGGCCCUUACGUCCAGGGCUACACACGUGCUACAAUGGCCGGUACAGAGGGCAGCCACCACGCGAGUGGGAGCAAAUCUCCAAAGCCGGUCUCAGUUCGGAUCGAAGUCUGCAACCCGACUUCGUGAAGCUGGAAUCGCUAGUAAUCGCGCAUCAGCCAUGGCGCGGUGAAUACGUUCCCGGGCCUUGUACACACCGCCCGUCAAGCCAUGGAAGCUGGGAGUACCUGAAGUCGGUAACCGCAAGGAGCUGCCUAGGGUAAAACUAGUAAUUGGGGCUAAGUCGUAACAAGGUA